AACGGCUAUACCAUGCUGAAUAUACCGUUCUCGUUAGAUACCGAAGUCAAGCAUCAUUGGGCGCGGUCAGUACUUGGGUGUGGGUGACCACCUGGGAACACCGUGUGCCGUU
rnacentral:rRNA from 1 species